UACGGAGGGAGCUAGCGUUGUUCGGAAUUACUGGGCGUAAAGCGCACGUAGGCGGCUUUGUAAGUUAGAGGUGAAAGCCCGGAGCUCAACUCCGGAACUGCCUUUAAGACUGCAUCGCUUGAAUCCAGGAGAGGUGAGUGGAAUUCCGAGUGUAGAGGUGAAAUUCGUAGAUAUUCGGAAGAACACCGGUGGCGAAGGCGGCUCUCUGGACCGAGACUGACGCUGAGGCGCGAAAGCGUGGGGAGCAAACAGG
rnacentral:rRNA from 1 species